GACGAACGCUGGCGGCGUGCCUAACACAUGCAAGUCGAACGGCAAGGCCCUGCUUUUGUGGGGUGCUCGAGUGGCGAACGGGUGAGUAACACGUGAGUAUCCUGCCCUUGACUUUGGGAUAACUUCAGGAAACUGGGGCUACUAUCGGAUAGGAGAUCCUGCUGCAUGGUGGGGGUUGGAAAGUUUCGGCGGUCGUGGAUGGACUCGCGGCUUAUCAGCUUGUUGGUGGGGUAGUUGCUUACCCAGGAUUUGGCGGGUACGCCGCAUGUGAAGGUGACCGGCCACAUGGGUACUGAGGUACGGCCCAGACUGCUACGUUAGGCAGCGGGGGGAAACCUUGCCCAAUGAGCGCGAGCCGGAGACGGCAGCGCUGCGGUCGGGAUGACGUCCUUCGGGGUGAAAACCGCUGUCGCCUGUGACGAAGCGGGAGUGACGGUAAUGGGUAAAGAAGCACCGGCUAACUACGUG
rnacentral:rRNA from 1 species